CGUGCCAGCAGUCGCGGUUAUACAAUUUUAAAUAUUAAACUUUUUUGGUUAUGUAUUAAAUUAUAUUUAUUCAGUUAAUGGGAUUUUUAUUUGGUGAAAUAUUAAUUUUUUAGACACUGAUAUAUAUUAUAAUAUAAGAAAGUUAUAUAUAGACUAGGAUUAGAUACCCUAUUAUUUUAACUGUAAAAUGUCAACCUAAUUAGUAUUAGAUAUGAUCUUUAAAUUUAAAGAAUUUGGCGGUAAUUUAACUUUUCAGAGGAACCUGUCCUGUAAUUGAUAAUCCACAAUAAAUUUUACUUUUAUUAUGUUUAUAUAUCUCUAUCAUUGAAUGUCUUUUGAAGGAAAUUUUCUAAACGAUUUUUUAAUCAAAAUGUUAGGUCAAGGUUUAAUAAUAUAAAAGUAGAGAUGGGUUACAUUAUUUUUAUAUGAGGAAAAUUGUAUGGAAAUAUAUUUGAAUUUGGAUUUGAUAGUAAAUUAUUUUAAAAUAAAUAUUUGAUAUUAGCUCUAUAUUAUGCACAUAUCGCCCGUCACCCUU
rnacentral:rRNA from 1 species